rnacentral:lncRNA from 1 species
CAACAACGCUCCAAACACCAUCCACUCUCUGCUCUUUCCCAACAGCCCAGAUCACAGACAUAGCUCUCUCUCUUCCUCGGGGCCGGAAGGGCAGACAGAACUCUUCAUUUGCCACACCAAUCAACAUUUCAACUACUUAAUUUUGUGGACAGCUUCUUCUGCUGGGCCUAGUGAAACCCAGGAGGAACACGUUGCGAAGAGGAGAAUGUGGAGUACAUUCCAAAUUUCUGCCCUACUUCUCCAUCAGCAGCUUUCAGUUUCUAGCUGAACGUGAUUAUCAGCUAUGCUACACCCUACACCGGCAGAAUCAGAGUAUCUGAGGCUGGACUCAGGAACUUAACUGGAUCUAAUGCCCACUUGUUGAUUCCUGCUGUUGUUUCUGCAACCAUGGUUUCUAUUCAGAAAAUCCUUUCCUACAGG